GUAGGAAUUACCCUUUCCCUAGUUGGUACAGUUAAACAGCGCAGUGGCUAACACACAGUAGGCAUUCAAUAUUAUUUUUUGGAUGUUACAUGUCAGCUAGGAUGAAGUGGGUAGACAGACACAGACGCUUACAGAAAUAGUAAGGGAAAUGUUCAUCAAAUGAUCACCUACAGAUGGAAUUAUAAACUAUGAAAUACCUUAAAGGAAAAACCAUGCAGGGGCAUGUGGAAUUAUUGAUGACGGAAUGGCCACGUAAAACGCCUGUGACCUUUACCUCUGUCACACUUUAGGUCCUCCUCGCUUUAGGCGGAAGAGAGAUUAAGUCACCCUAGCCGUCACGGGG
rnacentral:lncRNA from 1 species